GAUGAACGUUGGCGGCGUGCCUAAUACAUGCAAGUCGAACGAAGACUGUAGUAAUACUGUCUUAGUGGCGAACGGGUGAGUAACGCGUGGGUGACCUGCCCCGAAGUGUGGGAUAACAGUUCGAAAGGAUUGCUAAUACUGCAUAAUAUCCAAGAGAUUAGACGCUUUUGGAUUAAAGGAGUAAUUCGCUUCGGGAGGGGCCCGCGUCCCAUCAGCUAGUUGGUAAGGUAAUGGCUUACCAAGGCGAUGACGGGUAGGGGACCUGAGAGGGUGGCCCCCCACAAUGGAACUGAAACACGGUCCAUACACCUACGGGUGGCAGCAGUAGGGAAUAUUAGUAAUGGGCGAAAGCCUGAACUAGCAACGCCGCGUGUGCGAAGAAGGCCUUCGGGUUGUAAAGCACUUUUUGAGAGGAUGAGGAAGGACGGUACUCUCAGAAUAAGUCUCGGCUAACCACGUGCCAGCAGCCGCGAUAAACACGAGAGUA
rnacentral:rRNA from 1 species